GAGACAAGCUCUCACCCUUGUCAUCCAGGCAGGAGUACAAUGGCAGUAAUAGCUCCCUGCAGCCUCAAGCUCCUGGGCUCAAGCAAUCCUCCCACCUCAGCCUCCCGAGCAGCUGGGAUUGCAGGCACGAGCUACCACACUCAGCUAAUUUUCAUAUAUUUUUUUGGAGAUGGGGUCUUGCUGUGUUGCUCAGGAUGGUCUCAAACUCCUGGGCUCAAGCAAUCUGUCUAGCUUGGCCUCCCACAGUGCUGGGAUUAUAGACAUGAGCCACCCCGCCCAGCCUAUCAUCCCCAUUUUUAAGACAGGGAAAGAAACUGAGAGGAGAGGUCACUUGCCAAGGCCUCUCAGCCACGAAGUGGCAGAACUGGGAGGCAAACUAGUCUGACUCAAGCCCUUACUCAUAGUCAUUAUAUCAUUAUAUUAAACAUUCCUCACAGGGGUCUACAGAAAGCAUGUGUGAUGGCUUACCAAUACAUACUAAAUAGUUCUCUCCGGCAUGUAUAGAUUUUACAUUCAUGACAGCGUAAAUCAAAUUAAAAACGCUUCCUUGGCCCUCCACAGCCUUCCAGAUAAAAUCCAGGCUCCCUAAGGGCCUCCCUGAGUACAUGGACUGCAGUUGUUGAUGGAUUUUCUGCAUGUCUGGAAGACAGAAAAAGCGUCUUGGAUCAUGGUGUGGGGUGUGAGAUUGACAGGAUCUCCGAGAGGACAGUCGCUUCCAGAGCACUUCAGAAGCCAGUGAUUUCUCAGUCCUCCACUCUUCUCCCCUUCCCUAUCUGUGGUCUCCAGUGUGAUCACCUAGAAAAAGAGCUUUGGAACCAUAUAGACCAAGCUCAAAUCCAGUUCUCUACCACUUCGCAGGUGUGGAGCCUCAAGCAAGGUACCCAGGCUCCUACAAUCCCUAAACCAGGGAUGAUGACUCCCGCAGAGUGUAUGUGAAGCUCCAGACACAUGGACCAUCUCCACCUGGCAGGAGUCAUUAUUUCUCACAAAUGACUCUCUCCAUUGCUCUGAGACACCAAAACCAGUUGAAACCAGAAUGACAGCCCUGCCCACAUUUUUUUUUAAUGUGAAAGAUGAAAGGUCCUCAUUUCUUGUUCUGAUAGCUUCCUGCCACACACUGAAGUCUCCUCAAGGACACGUCUUUUACUGCAUGCAGCUUCACAGUCAGCUCCUCAAGCAGAAGACUGAACCGUGACUUGUUUUUAGAAGCUCUCCGGGUAGGGAGGACAUAUCCAUAUGCAGGACAGAACCUUGCUUUUCAAAUUCAAGAAAAAACAGUAACUAAUCUAUCGAUUCUUCUGUGAUUCAGUCUGCCAGGGUGUUCUGUAAAGAAUCCUUUUCCAUCCCUAUCACACAUUUGUACGAAAGGGGAGGGAGAGGUGGCAGGGUCCCAGUACACCGGCAGGCACUUCGGCGAUGCCCGGGGCUCCGCUCCCUUUCUGUUGAUAGUUGUAGGCGUCAUUUCUGGCAGCUGCUGCAGCUCGAUGCAGGGAAGGAAGGGGCCACCCACCAAUCACCUCUUUCUGAUGCCACAUUUUUGACGUUCAUGGAAGAGGCCUGUCUCAGAGCUCCCUAAGCUGACAAUCUUUGGGCAGCCAUCUCUAUUCUUCUCCUGGCUGGUGCACUCCUUACAAUAAUAGGCAUCAGAGACUCCCAUGGCCUCCACAGAUCUCACAGUGUCCCUGGUAAAAGCCAUAGUUACACUCAUCAUAUAAGCAUACCAGGGUGAAGGGACAGACACAGCGGUCACAAAUCACACACUUGCCGUCAGUUUUCACACAAUCUUCCGAUGGCAACAUCAGCCUGCUUGCAGCAAAAGAUCAAACCCAGAUAAUGUUCAGCCGUAGCUCCUGCUCACGCUGCAUUGCCCUCUUUUUAAAGCCAAGAAGCCCAUCUGGAGGCAUCAAAUCAUGCUUUAUGCAUAAGUAGGAGCUACAACGCAUUGGCCACAUGCACCUCCCUUGGGGGGACUCAAAUUUACUGAAUCCUGCCUUUGUGCCCAACACUGCAUUUGGAACCUUAUAUAAACAUCUCCACUAUUCCCCAAGAGGGUUCAUCCUUUCCCCUUGUUUCUUCAUUAUCUAUGUCUAACUUCCAUCCUUCCUGCUUUAGUUGGACUUGCUGUUCAUUUGAGAGGAAGCUGCUGACCACAGAGUUCAGCAAAAGAAUGGGAGUAUGGAGGCUCAAAGUGUGGCCCCUGGAGAAGCUGAAUGAGAAGUAGCCCUGGAUAUGGUGUAGACUCCCACAAACCAGAGAUCCUGCCCUCAGUGCCUCAGCUUUAGGAAGCUGCUCCCUGCCUUGCUCCUGGGCAGACAGGUAUGGUAUUGAUUUCCCCAUACCCCAGCAUCCCCACCCCAGUUUCCCUCUCUUCCCCCAUUGCCCGGUGCUUUGGCUGGCAUGCCCCUGACAACCAGGGAGGGCAAGUCCUU
rnacentral:lncRNA from 1 species